rnacentral:rRNA from 1 species
AGAGUUUGAUCAUGGCUCAGAUUGAACGCUGGCGGCAGGCCUAACACAUGCAAGUCGAGCGGAAACGAGAAUAGCUUGCUAUUCGGCGUCGAGCGGCGGACGGGUGAGUAAUGCCUGGGAAAUUGCCCUGAUGUGGGGGAUAACCAUUGGAAACGAUGGCUAAUACCGCAUAAUAGCUUCGGCUUAAAGAGGGGGACCUUCGGGCCUCUCGCUUCAGGAUAUGCCCAGGUGGGAUUAGCUAGUUGGUGAGGUAAAGGCUCACCAAGGCGACGAUCCCUAGCUGGUCUGAGAGGAUGAUCAGCCACACUGGAACUGAGACACGGUCCAGACUCCUACGGGAGGCAGCAGUGGGGAAUAUUGCACAAUGGGCGCAAGCCUGAUGCAGCCAUGCCGCGUGUAUGAAGAAGGCCUUCGGGUUGUAAAGUACUUUCAGCAGUGAGGAAGGGUGUGUAGUUAAUAGCUGCAUACUUUGACGUUAGCUGCAGAAGAAGCACCGGCUAACUCCGUGCCAGCAGCCGCGGUAAUACGGAGGGUGCGAGCGUUAAUCGGAAUUACUGGGCGUAAAGCGCAUGCAGGUGGUUUGUUAAGUCAGAUGUGAAAGCCCGGGGCUCAACCUCGGAACCGCAUUUGAAACUGGCAGGCUAGAGUACUGUAGAGGGGGGUAGAAUUUCA